AUUAUUCCAUGCCGUCGCCGCCGCCAGUCCUGCGCCAAGGCUCCGAUCGUGACGGAGGUGGCGCCGAUUCGACGACUCGAGCGAUUAGAUAAGUUUCCCUUCUUCCUUUUUAUAUUUUAAGCGAAAAAAAAUGAAAAACGAAUCACCAAGAAUGAUGAACCAAAAAGAAAUAAAAAAAGACCUUUUUAUUCCAAAAAUUUUCGGAUCUGUUCUCUUCCCCCUAUUUUCGUAUGCUUUUUACACUGAAAUCCCCCACCUCUUUACAGAUUUAAAGCCCCCUUAUAUAGCCG
rnacentral:lncRNA from 1 species